rnacentral:rRNA from 1 species
AUGGCCAUGGACACAUCGCCUCGGCUCUACCGCCGGCUCAGGAAGACAUCCGAUAUCUCCAUCGCCACAACCGUUUCCUCCUCGUCCAAGCGUAUGCGUACGAAGGAGGAACACAGCAGCUGCUGCGAGGACAAGAUCAGCAGCUUACCCGAGGAGAUACUGAUCAUGAUCCUUGACAAGCUAGACGCGCGCACAACAAUAACCACCACUAUCCUUUCAAAGCGGUGGCUGGAUCUUCCUCGGCGGUCACACACAUUUUAUGAUCUUUCCAUUUAUGAUAUUCUCCCUCCACGCUACCACAGGCUGAAGAAAAUAGCUAUGGAGACUAAGGCCAUCUAUGAGGCGGCGAAGAGGACACAGAAUCUGAUUGACAUCUGUGACAAGUACGAUCGGUAUAAUGCCAUCAAAGACCUGAAUGAGCAGUGGAUGUGGAAAGUCCAUCUGCGCACACCCAUCCUGCAACGUUAUGAGCGUCUGGCCAUGCGAUGCUAUGUUAAACGGGUGAACGCAUUCCUUCUGCCUCCCGAUAAUGUUCAGCGACGGUCUUUCCAGAAGCUGAGGCUUCAGACCUUUUGGAGGCCCGGUCUUGAUGAGUGGUUUACGGCAGCGGUUGGCAGAUGGGGGGUUGAAGAUUUAGAGAUUGUCGUCGAGAGCCGUUGCAAGCAAUUUGGAUUCUAUCCGUUAGAUAGAUGCCAGAAUGUGCGGCUGAAACGCCUUCUGCUGUCCAAUUUCUGUCAUUAUUAUGGAACACCCCCAUUGUUUUUUCAGAGGCUCACAACAAUUACUCUGUGCAAGGGAAGUUCACAUCCCCACCUCGUAUACGAUAUUCUGAGAGAUUGCUUGCAGCUGGUGGAUUUGAGGCUGAGGGAUAGUCCGUAUAGCCACGCUCCUUUACACGUCAAUUUUCCUAACUCAAGGUUGAAGAAUCUGCAAGUGGACAACUGUGAUAUUUUUAAAAUCUAUCUGACUUCAGUGCCUUGUCUUGAAACAUUUGCUUGUCGGGGUCAGCCAACCAAACUACGCUACGGUGAGGUGCCUCGGCUUAGGCAUGUGAGUUUGAACUUCUUGGAAACUGGAUAUGCAUAUACUGGUGAGCAUGAUUUGAUUCCUAGAAAAAACACCCAUUCACUAAGCAAAUUCUUUAAAGGGGUGCCGCCACCAGUAGAGGAGUUUUUUCUGCAAUUGAGAGGGCAUCAGAUGUGGCUUAAACCAACCACCAUAAUCAGCCGGCUUACCAAUCUGAAGAAGUUAUUCAUUGCGAACGUGCCAGUGGACUGGGAUACGUUCUGGAUAUUCAUCCUAUUUGCUGCCGCACCUUACUUGCAGUCGCUCCAUGUUCAUUUUGACAAUAACUUGGAGAAGGUGAGUGCUGCUGGAUCACUAGACGUGCAGGUCGAGCAACCACAGCACCAUCACCUCAGAGAACUCGUGGUCAUCGGCUUCGAUGGAGUUGCGUGGCAGACCGGCUUUGUGAAGCGGAUCAUGAGGGCGUCGCGGAGGCUGGGGCGUGUCCAUUUGCUUGACGGGCAUGUCGUGGAGGACGAGGAGCAGGAGCUCGUCGGACUGGAGAUUCUCCCGCACCGGCGGGAGUGGCAUGAGUGCGAGAGGUUGGAGGUGCUCGAAGAACUCACGGAUGGCACUGGCUUCCCAGUUCACAAGAUAGUUUUGGAGUGA